UGAAAGGGAAAAGCGUAACAAGGUUUCCGUAGGUGAACCUGCGGAAGGAUCAUUACCACACCAAAAAAAUAUCCACGUGAAUGUAUUCUUGUAUUAGGCUUUGUGCUACCUAGUGUAGCUAGCCGAAGGUUCUUUCGUAAGAGAGAACUGAUGUUUAAUUGAAUCCCUUUUAUAUUAAAUAACCUGACAUCAAUAUUGCAGAUAGAAAUAUAUGCAUGUAAUUGAAAUACAACUUUCAACAGUGGAUGUCUAGGCUCGCACAUCGAUGAAGAACGCUGCGAACUGCGAUACGUAAUGCGAAUUGCAGAAUUCAGUGAGUCAUCAAAAUUUUGAACGCAUAUUGCACUUUCGGGUUAGUCCUGGGAGUAUGUUUGUAUCAGUGUCCGUUUCAAACCAAUUGUUUCAUGUAUUUGAAGCAGAAUGUGAAGUGUCUUGUUCUUUUGAACAAGUCCUUUUAAAUGAAACGUACCUAUAUACAACGUAAGAAGCAUACCAAUAUAAAGGUGUGUAUCAUUUGAAUUUCAAUAUUGUUUUGUAUGAAUAUACAUGACAUUGAAAGUAAAAUGAAUUGCGGUAGUUUUGCUUGUACUUGUACGAGUGAACAAUAUAUUGCUUUUUGUUUUAUUGUAGAUGUGUGUAUUGCAGUAUGAAAUAAGGAGUUUAUAAUGGUAUAUACUGGGUUGUUUCUUUAGUAUAUAGAAGCAAAUGGGAAAUAUAUCCAAUUGGACCUGAUAUCAAACAAGAU
rnacentral:rRNA from 1 species